GACGAACGUUGGCGGCGUGCCUAAUACAUGCAAGUCAACUGAAAUACCGGUAGCAAUACUGGUAUGGAGGUGGCGCACGGGUGAGUAACACGUAGGUAAUCUGCCUUCAGGUCUGACAUAACCCAUCGAAAGGUGAGCUAAUAUCAGAUGAUGCAGCGGCUUGACAUCAAGACAGUUGUUAAAGCUUCGGCGCCUGAAGAUGAGCCUGCGUCUGAUUAGCUAGUUGGCGGGUAACGGCCACCAAGCUGCGAUCAGUAGCUGGUCGUGAGGAGGAUGAUCAGUCACACUGGAAC
rnacentral:rRNA from 1 species